GGGUGCGAUCAUACCAGCGUUAAUGCACCGGAUCCCAUCAGAACUCCACAGCUAGGCGCGCUUGGGCUAGAGUAGUACUGGGAUGGGUGACCUCCCGGAAAGUCCUAGUGUUGCACCCU
rnacentral:rRNA from 1 species